rnacentral:tRNA from 1 species
GUAAAUAUAGUUUAAUUAAAACACCAGAUUGUGAAUCUGACUAUGAGGCCAGUCACUUCUUAUUUACC